CCACUGCGGCGCCCCGGCCCGGCAGUGCCAGCAGCAGGUCGGCACCGCCAGCGCCACGCUUCUCGGGGGCCCUGGUGUUCCAUGGGGUACCAAUCCAAAGGGUUCGGCUCAACUACCUAGCUCCUUCAUGUAUUCAUCAAAGCCUUUGCUGUCCACCAGGCGCCAUCUUCCUUCCAGCUGCUGAACUGUGGCCAUGGGUACGCGACGGCCUCUCGGGCGCCUCCUGCAAGCAGGGACUCGCCCGGCGCGCCCCACGCCUCAUGGACGCCGGCGCCUGCACGUUUCGGCGCCUCUGCAGGCCCAGGAAGCCAGAGGGGUCACCUGGAGGCCUGGCCCCGCCUCUCCUGCACCCCUCCGUUUGACAACAUAUCCACCGCCGUUUUUCCUUUCAAAAUACCCGGACCAAUCGAUUAGCCCUCGCCGGACUCGGACUGCAGGAAGUGAUUGAUCGGCUGUUUGGUUUAUUGAUUCAUUAACUACGGUGCCUCCCUGACCUUCUGCUCCUCGCCAGCGCACAAGCUCACAAUCCACACCCUCCUAAGAGAACCUGCUCUCGCCAUCCGCAGGUCUCCCUGGCCCAAUAGUGGGGAUAUACCUGAGUUGAGCUAGAGGAUUUUAUCCCUGUUGGGAUGGGGGACGUCUCGGGAAGUGUGGUUUCUAAACUAAAAGACUGCAGGAAGUGUCAACUUUAGUGACUGUCAGAAAUUGACUGCCACAACAAAACUUGGCUCCCGUAUAAGGAAAAAGGAAAAACUGCAUACACAUUUAAGCCGAAAACUCAUUACAGAAGAAAAUUAGAAGCGAUGAGAAC
rnacentral:lncRNA from 1 species